CCUACGGGUGGCAGCAGUCGAGAAUCAUUCACAAUGGGGGAAACCCUGAUGGUGCGACGCCGCGUGGGGGAAUGAAGGUCUUCGGAUUGUAAACUCCUUUCAUGUGGGCGAAAAUUAAAAAGAUAGUACCACAAGAGGAAGAGACGGCUAACUCUGUGCCAGCAGCCGCGGUAAUACAGAGGUCUCAAGCGUUGUUCGGAAUCACUGGGCGUAAAGCGUGCGUAGGCUGUUUAGUAAGGCGUUUGUGAAAGGCGCGGGCUCAACCCGCGGACGGCAUAUGAUACUGCGAGACUAGAGUAAUGGAGGGGCAAACGGAAUUCCCGGUGUAGCAGUGAAAUGCGUAGAUA
rnacentral:rRNA from 1 species